rnacentral:rRNA from 1 species
AAAGGUAGAAGGACUUACUCUUCGGAGUGAGAGCGUACACAGGUGCUGCAUGGCUGUCGUCAGCUCGUGUCGUGAGAUGUUGGGUUAAGUCCCGCAACGAGCGCAACCCUGCAUUCAGUUGCCAUCGGUAAGGCCGGGCACUCUGGAUGGACUGCCGGCGACAAGCCGGAGGAAGGUGGGGACGACGUCAAGUCAUCAUGGCCCUUAUGUCCAGGGCGACACACGUGCUACAAUGGCCGGCACAACGGGAAGCGAAGGGGCGACCCUGAGCGGAUCCCACAAAAGCCGGUCUCAGUUCGGAUUGCAGUCUGCAACUCGACUGCAUGAAGUUGGAAUCGCUAGUAAUCGUGGAUCAGCCAAGCCGCGGUGAAUACGUUCCCGGGCCUU